UCCCUGAUAGCUCAGUUGACAAAGAAUCUGCCUGCAAUGCAGGAGACUCCAGUUCAAUCCUGGGUCGGGAAG
rnacentral:tRNA from 1 species